GCCGAAGCAACUANNNNGAAAAUGGAUGGCGCUAAAGCGUCGUGCCUAUACCGGGCCGUCAACGGCACAGUGGGCCUCUGCCUUCGGGCAAGAGCCGUUACGUCUUGACGAGUAGGAGGGUCGCGGCGGUGUGCGCAGAAGGGUCUGGGCGUGAGCCUGCCUGGAGCCGCCGUCGGCGCAGAUCUUGGUGGUAGUAGCAAAUACUCUAGAGAGGGCCUGGAGAGCCGAUGUGGAGAAGGGUUUCUUGUGAACAGCCGUUGUACAAGAGUAAGUCGAUCCUAAGUGCUAGGAGAAAUCCGAUGUUGAUGGUCUGGCUGUCGACUUCUAAUCUCAACACUUAGAAAACGUUUUAGGCUUCCGAGCCGUAAAAGCGUAUGUUCUUUCACGUACCAUACAUGAAUAGUUGAAUCUAUUAUGUGGAUUAUCUCUGGUGUAUUUUCUGGCAGUCCUUUGGUCUGUACGGACUUGACUCUUUUGCUCGCAUUUGUGCUGGGCUUGUCUUUUUUGCAUCAGAGAAGUCCGGGCUCUACGAUGUAAUGUUUGUUAUGUCAUGCUAGCCAUGCACAGAGCGUUGGAACUAGCCUUGGAGCUUUUGGUCGUGGAAGAGCAAUGUGUUAUCCUUAGCCCGUUGAAGGGCGAAAGGGAAUCCGGUCAACAUUCCGGAACCCGGCUGCGUAAACCGCUCUCUGUUGGCAUCAGCCGGCGAGCGCUUUGUUGGGGUAACCCAAGCUGUCCCGGAGACUCUGGCGGGGGGUCUGGGAAGAGUUUUCUUUUCUUUUUAAGCGUUCGUGGACCCUGGAAUUCUAUAGCAGANAGAUAGGGUUUGGAACGCGAAAAACAUCGCAGUUGCGGCGGUGACCGGACUUCCCCCCCGGACCUUGAAANUCUGGGUGAGAGCGAUGCGGUGAUCGCGCCGGUUCGUAUCCAUAUCCGCAUCUGGUCUCCAAGGUUCAAAGCCUCU
rnacentral:rRNA from 1 species